UACGUAGGGGGCAAGCGUUGUCCGGAAUCAUUGGGCGUAAAGAGCGCGUAGGCGGUCCGGUAAGUCCGCUCUGAAAGCCCGGGGCUCAACCCCGGGAGGCGGGCGGAUACUGUCGGGCUAGAGUCCGGAAGAGGAAAGUGGAAUUCCUGGUGUAGCGGUGAAAUGCGCAGAUAUCAGGAAGAACACCCGUGGCGAAGGCGGCUUUCUGGGACGGUACUGACGCUGAGACGCGAAAGCGUGGGGAGCGAACAGG
rnacentral:rRNA from 1 species